rnacentral:rRNA from 1 species
CAGCAGCCGCGGUAAUACGUAGGGUGCAAGCGUUAAUCGGAAUUACUGGGCGUAAAGCGUGCGCAGGCGGUUCUAUAAGACAGAUGUGAAAUCCCCGGGCUCAACCUGGGAACUGCAUUUGUGACUGUAGAGCUGGAGUGCGGCAGAGGGGGAUGGAAUUCCGCGUGUAGCAGUGAAAUGCGUAGAUAUGCGGAGGAACACCGAUGGCGAAGGCAAUCCCCUGGGCCUGCACUGACGCUCAUGCACGGAAGCGUGGGGAGCAAACAGGAUUAGAUACCCCCGUAGUCCCUGUCUCUUAUAC